UUGCUUUAUAUCCCCAAAGUCCGGUUUGUCCUGUAUGCAACUGACUUCCUUGGGCCCACCUCCUUUAGCCGACUAAGCCCUGUCCAAUCCUCAUUAAAUGCAAUGCAGAGAUGACAGUCAAAGUUCUAUCCCCAAUCUACACCGGUCAAAGCCCAAGUGGAACCACACUCAUCUAGUAAUCUGGCCCACUGCUACAGCCCAAUACUUCAUAGGCCCCAAAAUAAAGAUAAUAUCCACCCAAUGGGCUGGCCCAAUGAACCGGCCUAAUACUUUCAAGACCCACCUCAACAUGUCUAAAGUAUUAUGGCCCAACAUUGCCCCCCAGUCUUUUAUUAAACAGGAGGUUUAAUGAAAGAGUAUAAGUGGAAUCGGUCCAGAAUAAAAGGAAUUAUAAUGAGAUCAACAAAGGCCCAAGAUACAACUUACCGAGGCCCAAAAGAGAAGCCCACUCCGGUUAACAAUGAAGACUAAAACCGCACGCUACUUCUUUAACUUCACAAUCACCGUUGGCAUUAAAUGAGCCACCCCUGAACCUUGUGAAAAGUUGAAGAGAACUCUAGUAUAAAAGCUGCUUUCUCCCAAAUCUAACAGUUUUACCAACUCAAUUCGAAAUUCGGAUAUUCCUUACUCCUCUUCUUCUC
rnacentral:lncRNA from 1 species